CGCUUUAAUCAUCAUCCAUUAAUCACCGCGUCACAGGGGCCUGUUUCCGGUAACGCUCGGUGACAGCCAGGACGGGUUCCGCUGAACAGCAGACGAGUAGUUUUCGCCCAGGUUUGUCAAAUACCGUUUAAAAGGGCUGCCUCGUCAUUGACAAUUUUUUUAGAUGCGUCACAACCAGUUGCCUCAAUUCUGGGUGUGGUUUCCUGGGGGCUGGGUUCUCUCCAAGCGAAGAUGACCUAGGCAGCUCUCGGCCAGGUCUGGGCUACGCCCGGGCCCCGGGAGCGCGUACUGAGACCCAUGGUGCCCUAGAGGAGCACCCAAGAUGGCACGGGCAGCAGACCGAGAGCCCAAGAAGCACGGCGAGCAAGAAUCUCUGUCUAAAACAAAGGAGAGAAAGGAAGCGAGGCUUUCCCCGGAGAGAGCUGUGAAAGGGAUUCCACGCCAAGGAGCCUCUCAGCUGGGUUCAGGACGGAGUCGUGUGGCGAGGACCACGAGCUCCUGAGAGGCAAACUAACCUAAACUGGGAUGGAUGGGGACAACCGUUGUGCGUGUCACUUGAAAGAGCACGUCCGCAGCCCUGUACAGCUGCAGUGCCUGGGCAGGAGGUGAGUGGGUCGGAGGGAGAGCGACACGUAGGUGAGAGUUCAUGGCUGGCCGUCUCGCCCAGAUCUGAGCAGGAGCAAGAGGAGCCCUCCUGACCAGAACCGGGAACCAGCCCAGCCCGGGAGCCUAACCGUCGCAUCCACAGUCCAGAGAGGCAGGCCGGGGGGGUUGGCCAUGGCUGCGGCUGGUGGGAGGGACAGCCAGGAACAGGGAUGGACACCUGCUACUUCCUUCAGGUGAACUGUUCAGAGUGGCCGCUGGGGAGACGCAGCUGCCGGACCUGGGGCACACGCACGAGGGAGCCAGCUUCCCCGAGCCACUGGGCUACGUGAGCACAGACAUGUCGGAAGACUAGGACAGCGACACUAAUCCUCGUCCCCCUUCACCUGGCUCAGUCCCCAGAGGCAACCCCUCCUCCGGUUUCCUCUGUGCCCUCCUAGAGCUGCGCGUGCACGUGCCUUUCUGCACACCACCCUUAUUUCAUUUUACCAGAAGGCUCCACGCCACGCCCACUGUCUGGGCCUCGUGUUUCUCUCUCCACGAUAAAUCUCGGGGAUGACCCAAGUCCGUUUCCGGAGCGGCCUGUUCUUGCAGGAGGCUGCCAGGCGUCCCGCUGUUCGGCUGCGCAUGGUCUAUCCAACCAGCUUUAAGUGAUGGACAUUUGGGUUGUCUUCUGUCUCCACCACCAGGGCCGGGAGAGGGUGUUUACCCAGAGUUUGAAGACCCAGUAGGAAACAGCUCCCUGGUUCCAGGCUCCAGGCCAGAGCCGAGGUUGCAUUCUCACAGAGGCAGAGGGCGGGGAGGCUGCAGGGUGUCUUCUCGAUGGUUCGGCUGCUCUGGUGGUGACUGGGCUUCUGCAGACGGCCAAGCACUCAGUGCACACAACUUAGGAAAUGUCUCCCACGUUCCAACCAGAUAAGAACCUGCUCCUGACUGAGCUGGCCCAGGCUGAAGUGCCCGAGAAGACUAAGUCCCGGGGCAGGAUAACUCGUCUCAGCAGGGAUUAGAGGCCAGAGCCUGCCAGCCUCCACUCUGCUUCCAGGAGACUGGCCAGGCUCGGCUUAUGUCCCCCGGUCGCCUGGUCAGAGGGCACCGCAGUCCUCCAGGCCUCACAGGAACUGGGCAGGACACCAAAGCUGAGAAGACUGGUCUGGCGAGCAGCUGGGCGGACAGGAUAUUCAUGUGUAGAGUGCUCAGCUCACGAUGUUUCAAAACUGGUUCUAGUGUUGUUGAGAAUAAGUUCAGCUUUGAAUCCAGCAGCUCCACUUCCAGGAAGUCCCCCGGGUACCCUCACAUGUGCCAGGGCCCACUGCACGGGCAGGAGCCGACACGGGGUGGGGUGACCAUGGCCUGCAUGUUCCCCACCAGGGACCUGUCAGGCUGCUUCGGGUCCAGACCAUCUACCUACUGGAGAUCUAGGAGUUCUUCGGGCCCAACGCAAAUAACCAGCUAAAACCAUUGCCAUUAACCGAGGCUCGCUCCAGCAGGCGCCGCGGUUCGUGAUUCACGGGUCGUGUCACCGCGGCCUCCACCAGCCUGGCGCUCCGGCCCGUGGUGUAACUAAGCACGCUGAGUCUUAGGGAGGUUGGGUAACGUGCCCACUCACUCAGUUAGUAAGAGCUGGAGUCAGGGUCUGACUGACAGAGCCCAGUUCCAGCGCUCGUCCGAGGACAUUUCCCAAAAGCUGAAGUGGCCCCUGGGAGCCCGUGAGGUCUUCAGCUUCGGUCCUCCCACGUCUCCUCCCCCUCCCCCUCACGUUUCCAGCCUGGAGUCGGAGCCCUCUGGGAUGCGUGGUCCGAGGAUAAGGGACAGGCGGCAGUGAGCGGGAACCCAGAAGCAAACGGCGACGGGGGAGGCUGGGCAUGUCCUCGGAGGUGCCCCAAGGCCCAGCUCCAGCGAGGCCCGCAGCUGGACAGCCUGCAGUGAGGACGGCCCCCGCACGGGCAGGGCCUCACAGACUGGGCACCUCAGCAGGGCACAGCCUUCCAGCACACCCAGGGGCACAGACUCACGCCGCCCUCCUCGCUGCUUGGCAGCCUCACGGCCGGUGGCCGUUCUGCACAGGGACCGAGGCUGGGUCGAGGAGGUGCCCUGAGCCUUCACACAGGGGGGCCGCACCUCGCGAGCUCUGCAUCUCUGCGACAUGCCCGGAACGGUCCCCGAGUAUCUGUAAUUGCUUCUCAGGUCACACGCCGUUUCGGCCAGACAGCCUCGUCUGGAGCAGCCUCGUGCUCCCGCCUCCAGAUCGGAGACAGGCGAGCCUGUGUGGACGAACCGUGCGGGCGGGUGCUUGGCUGUCUAGACGCUGCGCGCUGGCUCGGCUCCCGGCUGGGCCGCUCGCUGCCAAGGCCUGCGGAAGCCUCUCACGGGCAGCGCACACGGUCGCCGAGCGGGCAGAUCCCGAACGACAGCCCGCGGCCCGUCCACGCGGUCCCCGGGCUCAGAAAGCUGAGGGGAUUGCCCUUAGUCCCAGGCGAGGGAGCAGGCUUCACCUCGUCCAUUCUGCAGAGAUGGCGUGUCUCACCCAGAACGCUCUGCUCUUCCAUCCCCGGGCUCACAGAGGGCCCCUUGGCUUUGGCUCCAUCCAGGAGAAUUGAAGAGGGCUCUUUUUCCAUCACACAUUCAGAACUGCUAAGGAGAGGGACAGACAGCCAGGCUCCAAGCUGGGACACUGUGGGGUGACACCGAUCCGGGGGGUACGAUACAGAGUUCUCACCACACCGUCCUCCACCUGAAACCAGCCAGGCUCCAAGCUGGGACACUGUGAGGUGACACCGAUUCGGGGGGGUACAAUACAGA